rnacentral:rRNA from 1 species
GAUGAACGCUGGCGGCGUGCCUAAUACAUGCAAGUCGAGCGAACAGAUGAGGAGCUUGCUCCUCUGACGUUAGCGGCGGACGGGUGAGUAACACGUGGAUAACCUACCUAUAAGACUGGGAUAACUUCGGGAAACCGGAGCUAAUACCGGAUAAUAUAUUGAACCGCAUGGUUCAUUAGUGAAAGACGGUUUUGCUGUCACUUAUAGAUGGAUCCGCGCCGCAUUAGCUAGUUGGUAAGGUAACGGCUUACCAAGGCAACGAUGCGUAGCCGACCUGAGAGGAUGAUCGGCCACACUGGAACUGGGACACGGUCCAGACUCCUACGGGAGGCAGCAGUAGGGAAUCUUCCGCAAUGGGCGAAAGCCUGACGGAGCAACGCCGCGUGAGUGAUGAAGGUCUUCGGAUCGUAAAACUCUGUUAUUAGGGAAGAACAAAUGUGUAAGUAACUAUGCACGUCUUGACGGUACCUAAUCAGAAAGCCACGGCUAACUACGUG